rnacentral:rRNA from 1 species
GACGAACGCUGGCGGCGUGCCUAAUACAUGCAAGUCGAACGGACCUUGCUUGGACGGAGUGGAGUACUUGUACAAAGCGAAGACUAAGCGCUGGUUAGUGACGAACGGGUGAGUAACACGUAGGUAACCUACCGAUAAGACGAGGACAACUCAUGGAAACGUGAGCUAAUACUGGAUAUGGUAUAGGGAAGGCAUCUUUCUUAUAUUAAAGGAGCUUCUGGCUUCACUUAUUGAUGGACCUGCGGCGUAUUAGCUGGUUGGUGGGAUAGCAGCCUACCAAGGCGAUGAUACGUAGCCGAUCUGAGAGGAUAAACGGCCACACUGGGACUGAGAUACGGCCCAGACUCCUACGGGAGGCAGCAGUAGGGAAUUUUCCACAAUGGGCGAAAGUCUGAUGGAGCAACGCCGCGUGUGUGAAGAAGGUUUUCGGAUUGUAAAGCACUGUUGUAUGGGAAGAAUAAGGUGAGAAGGAAAUGGCUCAUUGA